CGGGUGCACUGAUCCAGCCGGGCCUUUCCCUCUGUGGAACCCCAUGGCCUUCACUGGCUGUGGCGGGGAAACAGGACUUUUACUUUGAAAAAAUUAGAGUGCUCCGGGCAGGCCUAUGCUCGAAUACAUUAGCAUGGAAUAAUAAAAUAAGACGUGUGGUUCUAUUUUGUUGGUUUCUAAGACCCCCGUAAUGAUUAAUAGGGACAGUCGGGGGCAUCAAUAUUCAAUUGUCAGAGGUGAAAUUCUUGGAUCUAUUGAACACUAACUACUGCGAAAGCAUUUGCCAAGGAUGUUUUCAUUGAUAAGGAACGAAAGUUAGGGGAUCGAACACUAUCAUAUACCGUCAUACUCUUAACUAUAAACUAUGCCGACUAGGGAUCGGACGAUGUUAUUCUUUGACGCGUUCGGCACCUUUCGAGAAAUCAAAAAGCUUGGGCUCCGGGGGGAGUAUGGUCGCAAGGCUGAAACUUAAAGAAAUUGACAGAGGGGCACCACCGGGGGUGGAACCUGCGGCUUAAUUUGACUCAACACGGGGAAACUCACCACGUCCACACACAGUGAGGGUUGACAGAGAGAGAGAUCUUUCUUGAGAUUGUGGGUGUGGUGCAUGGCCGUUCUUAGAGUUGGAGAAUGAGUUGUCUUAAUAAUGAUAACGAAGAAGACGACAACAACCUAAAAAACACCCCGUACUGCUUAGCAGUUCGCCGGCUUGUUAGAGGAACGAUUCA
rnacentral:rRNA from 1 species